GGGUAGAGAGGAAUUAUUACCUCUGUACACUCAGGUGUGAUAUCUUGCUGACCAGGCCGGUUAGGUGAUAGCUUGAGAUAGUUACUGGAAUUUCUGGUUACAGGUUGCAUCAGGCACAUCAAAGCAAGAAUCCUGCACUUCAGCCUUUCACAGACCCCAGAGCCCUAUAAAUACUGGGAUUCAUCUGGCACAGAACCGCUGUCUCACUCUGCCUUGGUGCCUCUUCUCUGCAGUGACGCCGAGAUCCCAGCUGACCCUCAGCCAUGAAGAGCCUGUACCUGCUCAUUGCUGUGGUUCCCCUACUCUUCCAGCCUGCUCCAGGGUAUGGUCAAAGGAUCCAAAUGCCUCCCUGUGCUUCCAUAGGAGGUUACUGCGUGGAGGCUUUAGAGAUAUGUCUCUCAGAUGAAUACCUACGUGGAGCCUGCCCCAACUUCAUAACGCGGUGCUGCAAAAAAUAGAGACUGUCCAAUCUGCUGAAAUCCUGGAGGGAAACCCUCGACCCACGGAAAGAAAUAUUUGUCCCUCUCACCCUCCUUUAAUAAAGAGGUGUUGUUAAAUCGUC